GAUGAACGCUGGCGGCGUGCCUAACACAUGCAAGUCGAGCGAACGGACGAGAAGUUUGCUUCUCUGAUGUUAGCGGCGGACGGGUGAGUAACACGUGGAUAACCUACCUAUAAGACUGGGAUAACUUCGGGAAACCGGAGCUAAUACCGGAUAAUAUUUUGAACCGCAUGGUUCAACAGUGAAAGACGGUCUUGCUGUCACUUAUAGAUGGAUCCGAGCUGCAUUAGCUAGUUGGUAAGGUAACGGCUUACCAAGGCAACGAUGCAUAGCCGACCUGAGAGGGUGAUCGGCCACACUGGAACUGAGACACGGUCCAGACUCCUACGGGAGGCAGCAGUAGGGAAUCUUCCGCAAAGGGCGAAAGCCUGACGGAGCAACGCCGCGUGAGUGAAGAAGGUCUUCGGAUCGUAAAGCUCUGUAAGUAGGGAAGAACAUAAGUGUAUGUAACUGUGCACAUCUUGACGGUACCUAAUCAGAAAGCCCCGGCUAACUACGUG
rnacentral:rRNA from 1 species